rnacentral:tRNA from 1 species
ACCUGUCUAGCUCAGUCGGUAGAGCAUGUGACUCUUGAUCUCAGGGUCAUGAGUUCAAGCCCCAUAUUGGGUA